UAACUUACCUGACGCUGAGUUUAGAGUGAUCAAGAAUUUUCUGACCCUGGAUGGAGACUCACCACUGCACCUAGGUAGGUUGAAACUGACGACGGACCCUAAUCGGGUGUGCUCGGGUGUGUAGUUUUUGUCAAUGGAGAGGCCUCACGGUCUUUCCUUU
rnacentral:snRNA from 1 species